GACGAACGCUGGCGGCGUGCUUAACACAUGCAAGUCGAACGCUGAACCCGCUUCGGUGGGGGAUGAGUGGCGAACGGGUGAGUAACACGUGGGCAACCUGCCCCCGGCUCUGGGAUAACUCCAAGAAAUUGGGGCUAAUACCGGAUGUGACCGCUGGCCGCAUGGUCUGGUGGUGGAAAGGGUUUCCGGCUGGGGAUGGGCCCGCGGCCUAUCAGCUUGUUGGUGGGGUAGUGGCCUACCAAGGCGACGACGGGUAGCCGGCCUGAGAGGGUGACCGGCCAACCGGGGAGGGAGACACGGCGCAGACCCCUGGGGGGGGAAGAAGGGGGGAAAAUUGCGGAAGGGGGGGAGGCCUGACGCGGCGACGCCGGGGGGGGGAGGAGGGCCUUGGGGUGGUAAACCUUUUUCAGCAGGGACGAAGGGAAAGGGACGGUACCGGAAGAAGAAGCCCCGGCCAACUACGU
rnacentral:rRNA from 1 species